UCAGAAGGUGCAUGCAAUGU
rnacentral:siRNA from 1 species